CGGCAGGCCUAAUACAUGCAAGUCGAGGGGCAGCAUGGGUAGCAAUACCUGAUGGCGACCGGCAAACGGGUGCGGAAACACGUACGCAACCUUCCUUCAAGCGGGGAAAUAGCCCAGAGAAAUUUGGAUUAAUACCCCAUAGGAAUGUAGUCUCGCAUGAGACAGCAUUUAAAGAUUUAUCACUUGAAGAUGGGCGUGCGUCUGAUUAGGUAGUUGGUGAGGUAACGGCCUACCAAGGCGACGACGGGUAGCUGGUCUGAGAGGACGGCCAGCCGGACUGGGACUGAGAUACGGCCCAGACUCCUACGGGGGGCAGCAAUUAGGAAUCUUGCACAAUGGGGGAAACCCUGAUGCAGCGACGCCGCGUGAGGGAGGAAGUCCUUCGGGAUGUAAACCUCUUUCACCAGGGAAGAAACAAAUGACGGUACCUGGUGAAUAAGCUCCGGCUAACUACGUGCCAGCAGCCGCGGUAAUACGUAGGGAGCGAGCGUUGUCCGAAGUUACUGGGCGUAAAGCGCGCGUAGGCGGGUCGUUAAGUGAGAGGUGAAAAGGCUGGGGCUCAACCCCAUGCAGUGCCUCUCAUACUGGCAAUCUUGAGUGAGGUAGGGAGAAGUGGAAUGGCUGGUGUAGCGGUGAAAUGCGUAGAUAUCAGUCGGAACACCGGUGGCGAAGGCGGCUUCUUGGGCCUUUACUGACGCUGAUGCGCGAAAGCUGGGGGAGCGAACGGGAUUAGAUACCCCGGUAGUCCCAGCCGUAAACGAUGGAUACUAGGUGUCGGGGGUAUCGACCCCCCCGGUGCCGCAGCGAACGCAUUAAGUAUCCCGCCUGGGGAGUACGGCCGCAAGGUUGAAACUCAAAGGAAUUGACGGGGGCCCGCACAAGCGGUGGAGCAUGUUGUUUAAUACGUCACUAACCGUAGAACCUUACCAGGGCUUGACAUCUGCUGACAGCCGGUGAAAGCCGGUUUUUCCCCCGCAAGGGGACAGCAAGACAGGUGUUGCAUGGCUGUCGUCAGCUCGUGUCGUGAGAUGUUGGGUUAAGUCCCGCAACGAGCGCAACCCUCACCCCAUGUUGCCAGCGGAUAAUGCCGGGAACUCUUGGGGAACUGCCCGGGUAACCGGGGGGAAGGUGGGGAUGACGUCAAGUCAGCAUGGCCCUUACGUCCUGGGCUACAAACAUGCUACAAUGGACGGCACACAAAGGGAUCCGAUACCGCGAGGUGGAGGCAAUCUCAAAAAUCCGUCCCCAGUUCAGAUCGCAGGCUGCAACUCGCCUGCGUGAAGUCGGAAUCGCUAGUAACCGCAGAUCAGCGAAGCUGCGGUGAAUACGUUCCCGGGCCUUGUACACACCGCCCGUCACGUCACUUGAGUCGUCUGCACCCGAAGUCCGUGGCCCAACUCGCAAGAGAGGGAGCGGCCGAAGGUGUGGGGAGCGAGAGGGACG
rnacentral:rRNA from 1 species